AGAACGAACGCUGGCGGCAUGCCUAACACAUGCAAGUCGAACGCUCUUGGGGCUUCGGUUCCAAGGGAGUGGCGCACGGGUGAGUAGCGCGUGGGAACCUGCCCUGGAGUGGGGGGAUAACCGAGGGAAACUUCGGCUAAUACCGCAUGCGCCCGGGAAACCGGGGAAAGAUUUAUCGCUCUAGGAGGGGCCCGCGUCGGAUUAGCUAGUUGGUGGGGUAACGGCCUACCAAGGCUUUGAUCCGUAGCUGGUCUGAGAGGAUGAUCAGCCACACUGGGACUGAGACACGGCCCAGACUCCUACGGGAGGCAGCAGUGGGGAAUCUUGCGCAAUGGGGGGAAACCCUGACGCAGCGACGCCGCGUGCGGGAUGAAGGCCUUCGGGUUGUAAACCGCUUUCAGCAGGGACGAAAUUGACGGUACCUGCAGAAGAAGCGCCGGCUAACUACGUGCCAGCAGCCGC
rnacentral:rRNA from 1 species